AGCGUACACGGUGGAUGCCCUGGCAGUCAGAGGCGAUGAAGGGCGUGCUAAUCUGCGAUAAGCGCCGGUAAGGUGAUAUGAACCGUUAUAACCGGCGAUACCCGAAUGGGGAAACCCAGUGUGAUUCGUCACACUAUCAUUAACUGAAUCCAUAGGUUAAUGAGGCGAACCGGGGGAACUGAAACAUCUAAGUACCCCGAGGAAAAGAAAUCAACCGAGAUUCCCCCAGUAGCGGCGAGCGAACGGGGAGGAGCCCAGAGCCUGAAUCAGCAUGUGUGUUAGUGGAAGCGUCUGGAAAGGCGCGCGAUACAGGGUGACAGCCCCGUACACAAAAGCGCAUGUGCUGUGAGCUCGAUGAGUAGGGCGGGACACGUGGUAUCCUGUCUGAAUAUGGGGGGACCAUCCUCCAAGGCUAAAUACUCCUGACUGACCGAUAGUGAACCAGUACCGUGAGGGAAAGGCGAAAAGAACCCCGGCGAGGGGAGUGAAAAAGAACCUGAAACCGUGUACGUACAAGCAGUGGGAGCACAGGUUUACCUGUGUGACUGCGUACCUUUUGUAUAAUGGGUCAGCGACUUAUAUUCUGUAGCAAGGUUAACCGAAUAGGGGAGCCGGAGGGAAACCGAGUCUUAAUUGGGCGUUAAGUUGCAGGGUAUAGACCCGAAACCCGGUGAUCUAGCCAUGGGCAGGUUGAAGGUUGGGUAACACUAACUGGAGGACCGAACCGACUAAUGUUGAAAAAUUAGCGGAUGACCUGUGGCUGGGGGUGAAAGGCCAAUCAAACCGGGAGAUAGCUGGUUCUCCCCGAAAGCUAUUUAGGUAGCGCCUCGUGAAUUCAUCUCCGGGGGUAGAGCACUGUUUCGGCUAGGGGGCCAUCCCGGCUUACCAACCCGAUGCAAACUGCGAAUACCGGAGAAUGUUAUCACGGGAGACACACGGCGGGUGCUAACGUCCGUCGUGAAGAGGGAAACAACCCAGACCGCCAGCUAAGGUCCCAAAGUCAUGGUUAAGUGGGAAACGAUGUGGGAAGGCCCAGACAGCCAGGAUGUUGGCUUAGAAGCAGCCAUCAUUUAAAGAAAGCGUAAUAGCUCACUGGUCGAGUCGGCCUGCGCGGAAGAUGUAACGGGGCUAAACCAUGCACCGAAGCUGCGGCAGCGACGCUUAUGCGUUGUUGGGUAGGGGAGCGUUCUGUAAGCCUGUGAAGGUGGCCUGUGAGGGUUGCUGGAGGUAUCAGAAGUGCGAAUGCUGACAUAAGUAACGAUAAAGCGGGUGAAAAGCCCGCUCGCCGGAAGACCAAGGGUUCCUGUCCAACGUUAAUCGGGGCAGGGUGAGUCGACCCCUAAGGCGAGGCCGAAAGGCGUAGUCGAUGGGAAACGGGUUAAUAUUCCCGUACUUGGUGUUACUGCGAAGGGGGGACGGAGAAGGCUAUGUUGGCCGGGCGACGGUUGUCCCGGUUUAAGCGUGUAGGUGUGUGUUCCAGGUAAAUCCGGUUCACUUUAACACUGAGGCGUGAUGACGAGGCACUACGGUGCUGAAGUAACAAAUGCCCUGCUUCCAGGAAAAGCCUCUAAGCAUCAGGUAACAUCAAAUCGUACCCCAAACCGACACAGGUGGUCAGGUAGAGAAUACCAAGGCGCUUGAGAGAACUCGGGUGAAGGAACUAGGCAAAAUGGUGCCGUAACUUCGGGAGAAGGCACGCUGACACGUAGGUGAAGUGAUUUACUCACGGAGCUGAAGUCAGUCGAAGAUACCAGCUGGCUGCAACUGUUUAUUAAAAACACAGCACUGUGCAAACACGAAAGUGGACGUAUACGGUGUGACGCCUGCCCGGUGCCGGAAGGUUAAUUGAUGGGGUCAGCGCAAGCGAAGCUCCUGAUCGAAGCCCCGGUAAACGGCGGCCGUAACUAUAACGGUCCUAAGGUAGCGAAAUUCCUUGUCGGGUAAGUUCCGACCUGCACGAAUGGCGUAAUGAUGGCCAGGCUGUCUCCACCCGAGACUCAGUGAAAUUGAACUCGCUGUGAAGAUGCAGUGUACCCGCGGCAAGACGGAAAGACCCCGUGAACCUUUACUAUAGCUUGACACUGAACAUUGAGCCUUGAUGUGUAGGAUAGGUGGGAGGCUUUGAAGUGUGGACGCCAGUCUGCAUGGAGCCGACCUUGAAAUACCACCCUUUAAUGUUUGAUGUUCUAACGUGGACCCGUUACCCGGGUUGCGGACAGUGUCUGGUGGGUAGUUUGACUGGGGCGGUCUCCUCCUAAAGAGUAACGGAGGAGCACGAAGGUUGGCUAAUCCUGGUCGGACAUCAGGAGGUUAGUGCAAUGGCAUAAGCCAGCUUGACUGCGAGCGUGACGGCGCGAGCAGGUGCGAAAGCAGGUCAUAGUGAUCCGGUGGUUCUGAAUGGAAGGGCCAUCGCUCAACGGAUAAAAGGUACUCCGGGGAUAACAGGCUGAUACCGCCCAAGAGUUCAUAUCGACGGCGGUGUUUGGCACCUCGAUGUCGGCUCAUCACAUCCUGGGGCUGAAGUAGGUCCCAAGGGUAUGGCUGUUCGCCAUUUAAAGUGGUACGCGAGCUGGGUUUAGAACGUCGUGAGACAGUUCGGUCCCUAUCUGCCGUGGGCGCUGGAGAACUGAGGGGGGCUGCUCCUAGUACGAGAGGACCGGAGUGGACGCAUCACUGGUGUUCGGGUUGUCAUGCCAAUGGCACUGCCCGGUAGCUAAAUGCGGAAGAGAUAAGUGCUGAAAGCAUCUAAGCACGAAACUUGCCCCGAGAUGAGUUCU
rnacentral:rRNA from 2 species